rnacentral:rRNA from 1 species
GACAUAGGUGGCGAACGUUAUCCGGAAUUAUUGGGCGUAAAGGAUGCGUAGAUGGUAGAAUAAGUUACUGGUCGAUGCCAAACUCGAUUUGACGGAAGCUGGUAAUACUGUUCUGCUCGAGGACAGGAGAGGUUGAUGGAAUUCUGUGUGGAGCGGUGAAAUGCGUUGAUCUACAGAGGAACACCAAAAAAGGCGAAGGCAGUCAACUAUUCUGUUCCUGACAUUGAGGCAUGAAGGCGUGGGGAGCAAACCGG